rnacentral:rRNA from 1 species
GAUGAACGCUGGCGGCGUGCCUAAUACAUGCAAGUCGAGCGAACGGACGAGAAGCUUGCUUCUCUGAUGUUAGCGGCGGACGGGUGAGUAACACGUGGAUAACCUACCUAUAAGACUGGGAUAACUUCGGGAAACCGGAGCUAAUACCGGAUAAUAUUUUGAACCGCAUGGUUCAAAAGUGAAAGACGGUCUUGCUGUCACUUAUAGAUGGAUCCGCGCUGCAUUAGCUAGUUGGUAAGGUAACGGCUUACCAAGGCUACGAUGCAUAGCCGGUCUGAGAGGGUGAUGGGACACACUGGAACUGAGACGUGGGCCUGACUCCUACGGGAGGCAGCAGUAGGGAAUCUUCCGCUAUGGGCGAAAGCCUGACGGAGCAACGCCGCGUGAGUGAUGAAGGUCUUCGGAUCGUAAAACUCUGUUAUUAGGGAAGAACAUAUGUGUAAGUAACUGUGCACAUCUUGACGGUACAUAAUCAGAAAGCCAGGGCUAGCUACGGG